rnacentral:rRNA from 2 species
UCGGGAGCAGAGUGACAGGUGGUGCAUGGUUGUCGUCAGCUCGUGUCGUGAGAUGUUGGGUUAAGUCCCGCAACGAGCGCAACCCUUGAUCUUAGUUGCCAUCAUUAAGUUGGGCACUCUAAGGUGACUGCCGGUGACAAACCGGAGGAAGGUGGGGAUGACGUCAAAUCAUCAUGCCCCUUAUGACCUGGGCUACACACGUGCUACAAUGGACGGUACAAAGAGCUGCAAGACCGCGAGGUGGAGCUAAUCUCAUAAAACCGUUCUCAGUUUCGGAUUGUUAGGCUGCUACUCGCCUACCAUGAAAAGCCC